rnacentral:rRNA from 1 species
GUCUACGGCCAUACCACCCUGAAUAAACCCAAUCCCGCCUGAUCUCGGAAGCUAAGCAGGGUGGGGCCUGGUUAGUACUUGGAUGGGAGACCACCUAGGAAGAUGAGGGGCUGUAGGCA